UGUGGCUGUUAACCACAAG
rnacentral:siRNA from 1 species